rnacentral:rRNA from 1 species
AUGCACGCUGGCGGCGUGCCUCAUACAUGCACGUCGAGCGAACGGACGAGAAGCUUGCUUCUCUGAUGUUAGCGGCGGACGUGUGAGUAACACGUGGAUAACCUACCUAUAAGACUGGGAUAACUUCGGGAAACCGGAGCUAAUACCGGAUAAUAUUUUGAACCGCAUGGUUCAAAAGUGAAAGACGGUCUUGCUGUCACUUAUAGAUGGAUCCGCGCUGCAUUAGCUAGUUGGUAAGGUAACGGCUUACCAAGGCAACGAUGCAUAGCCGACCUGAGAGGGUGAUCGGCCACACUGGAACUGAGACACGGUCCAGACUCCUACGGGAGGCAGCAGUAGGGAAUCUUCCGCAAUGGGCGAAAGCCUGACGGAGCAACGCCGCGUGAGUGAUGAAGGUCUUCGGAUCGUAAAACUCUGUUAUUAGGGAAGAACAUAUGUGUAAGUAACUGUGCACAUCUUGACGGUACCUAAUCAGAAAGCCACGGCUAACUACGUG